UAGUGUUGUGACUAUGAGAGAAUAUUAUUCUGUUAAAGUGAGACGACAAAGUCGACGUUAACUUUAUUAUCGUUCCUCCUCGUCUCAGAUGUGUUGAGUAAGGAAUAAAAUACAGUCCCUCCUGAACACGAAGCUACACUUAACACAGAACAGCAGAAAACAAUAAUACAGACACACCAUCAAUACAAUAAACACAGACAAUAAACUAAACACUGUACAAUAAACUAUAUGAGCGUCAGUUCAGGACAGUAGAUACUAAAUGGUGAACGGUGGACAAGAAGCAAUGAUUAUAUGUAUAAGUGUUUGUAAAUGUUUUAUUAAUGUUUCUUUUCACUAACUCAUCUCUCACUUAUAAUUGUAGUUGUUCCAUAUUGUUGUAUAUGUAAAUAACACUAAACCACAUUUUCCCUCCCUCUUUAACUGAAUCCACACUCUGAGGAAUGAGCAUUAUUAGCAUGAUUAUUUGCAUGAUUAGGCAGAGAUGUUGUAGAUCUUAAUGACACUGUUACCACCUUUUUCCCUCCCUCUAUAUCUGAGUCCACAGUCUGAGGAAUUACAAAGUGGAAAAAGUUAAGUAAACAAAUUGCCUAAAAUUAUUGUGUAUGAUUUGAAUAUUUGUACACAGUUGUCAUUGUAUAGAAAUAAAUGCAGUGUCUUCCUCUUUUUUACAUGUGGACUGAAUGGAUUAAAAUGUCUUCACUGGUUAAUGGCUGCACUGGGACAUAAGGUGAGAUAAACAGUGUCUUAAUAGAGUUUGUACUUCUUUUCCAUUUGAGUAAAUGGUGGUAAAUGCUUUCAUGAUUUGGUUACUUGUUUUUUCUCUCUCACUUCUCUUCACAUGUUUGAGCAGAAAUCUUCUUGGUGUGACAGACUGUGCGGUACUUUAAAACUUGUGAAGACUGCAAUAAAACAAAGGUGAGAUGAAGACUGACUUGAAGUUUAAUUUACUUUUUCAGGAUUUAAAUGAACUGUUAUUUGGUUUAAAUUUUAAUUUAUACUGCUUUAUAUAUUUAUAUAUAGAUAAUAUACAUUAUUAGCACUUAUACCAUCUUUUUCCUUCUUUCUUUUACUGAAUCCACACUCUGAGGAAAAAGGUAAGUCAUCAAAUGAUCUGUAAUAAUUAUAUAUUAUGUGAAUAAUCAUAUGUGAAAUCAUGCGAUGUGAAAUCACCUCUGUCUCUUAUCUGUGUUCGUUAGAUAGUUAAAGUUCAGUGGUCCUCAGUCCUACACCUCACCUGCCCAUGAGGAGCCUGGCUACUUCCUAUUCCGCCUAUUAUAUCAAGAACAGGACUGUUAAACAGCAGAGGGCGCCCACGAGGGAGACCUCAAUGAAUGGGAUUUUGGGCAGCAGAAGGCGGGCAUUACUGCUACUGAGUGCGGCGAGCAGAGCA